UUCCUGGUGUUCGCGCCCCUGGGUAGCCACUCUUGAGUGUGGGCAGGACCUGUGACUUGCCUUCAACCAACGGGAUACACAGAAUGAUGGGCCGUCACUUCCACGGUCACGUUACACAGGACUUUGACUUGAGUCUUGCCAGCCUGUCCCUUGCGGGCUCUGAUGAAGCAGGCUGCCGUGCUGGGGGUCACCCUGUGGACAGGCUCUUGCGGCCAGGAGCUGAGGGCGGCUUCUAGCGGUUCACCAGCGAGGAAGUGAGGCUCGCAUCCAACAUUCUGCCGGGGCUGGAUUCUGCCAACAAGCCCAGGAGCUUGGACACAGACCCUUCCCCAGUGGAGCCGGGAGAUGAGACCACAGCCCUGGCUGACACCUUGACUGCAGGCUGGGAGACCCUGAACCAGAGGACACAGCUGAGUGUCCAUGCCUGGACUCCUGUUCACAGAAACAGAGUUUAUACCUGUGUGCUCUUUAGGCUGCUAAAUGGUGAAACAGCAUUGAAAGAAGUCAGAAACUGAUGGUUCCCGCAGAGCGAAAUGGGACAAGUUCAGCCACACGCAAAACCUGGAGGGGAGAACACUGCAUUGCCAGCUCCUCUUGAUUUGGGAAACUGAAGAGCACAGAGUAACACAGUCAGGAUGCAGACAUGGAACAGUGGGCACUGAAGCACCUUAACCUUCCCACGUCUUCUGCUGUUCUUACGGGAAUGUCUCGGUUGAGAAGAAAAACGUCCUUGGCAUUGUGACGAUGCAAACACGUUGGCCCCAGACCCAGACUCUGAGCUGCAGUGUCACGGUAACAUCUCGGGAGACAAUCUCCGAAUUCCAGCGCUGGGAGACCCCUGAGACCCUCAAUCCAAGCCUUUUACUCCACAUGGGAGAACUGAGGCACAGGUCCAGCGCGUCCAUCAGUGUAAUGGAAAGUGGUUCAGCUGAAGGUGACGGGGGUGCCCUGCCUGCUGCUGUCUGCUGUCCCCUCCCCAGCCCGACACCAAGGUCUGUGCACUUUGUCCCCGAUGGUGUCGCCCUCCAGACCCAGAACUUUAACAGCCUCCUCAAGCUGCUGUGAUCGCCCAGUUCAGUUCUGGCCACGAGGUGAGCCAGUCACAGGCACUCACCGUCAGCAAGAGUGAGAGUCACCUGAGAGCAACAUGGCGGCGAGGAAUCAGGCUCAUGUCUUGGAGGAGAUGUGCUGGGCAGAAGGGACCACCUCCUGGGAGCACCAUUCACAUGGUUCACGAUGGCCACCUGAAUGGUGACACCCACUUCUUUACUGAGAGUCAGUAUGCGUUUAUAUCAAUAUACAAUUCACCAUAUUAAAAAGAUCAUUUACACUUUUGGGGGUAAAGUCGUUUGA